UAGGUUCUAUACGGUAUUAUACAAAAAAAAAAUAAAAUACAGUAUUUUAACAUCUCUGCCCAUGAUACUAUGACAGUAUGAUUGUAUCUAUUGUAAUUUGUAUUACUGACUGAUUUCUGUGUUUGCCGUAGUGUCGUGCACCUAACCUCGUCCUCGUGUAUGAAAUAAUUUGUUUGCUUAGUGUAGAAUUAAAUACAGCUAUGAUUUAAUACUUAAUAUUGCAUAAUACAAUAAUACAUUAUGGAAAGGAAACCAAAGGGCAGAGCUGAAAAACUUCGUUUAAAAAAACUGGUAAAUUUGCAGGCUAUUGCCAAUGAGUCAAAACAAAAUUUAUUUUGAACUUAUUCGUUGAUGAUUGUGUAACGCAACCAAAAUACCAAAGUUGCUUAACUGUAGCUGUAAGAGAAAAUUCUUUGCUGUGCGAUUUUCAAUGGUCGGUUUUUUAUUACCACCAUCAUGGAAAGUAAGAAGAGGCGUGGAACUAACUCUGAAUACGCCGACUACGAACGAUCUAAUGGAUAUGUAUGGUGCACACAAUCUUAUGCAAACUGUGACAGCUGCGACUCGGGAAAAUCGUUAUUACGAUGAAACUUCAUCGGAGUCCGACACAGAUGAUGGAGAAAUAGAACAAGAAGAUAAUCAACCACCAGAUUUUGGUACAGCAGAUCCAGGUUUUGUGUUUAAUUUAUUUAGUAGAUUUACGUGGGAAAAUACGGAUUGUUAUACCGAUCAUAUAUCAUUCAGUGGUGAUAUAAUGAAGUAUAUUGACAGAUGCGUAUUUUCAAAUUUUUCUGGGAGGGGGGUCCUCAGUUUAUACAUAAUUAAUCUAUGAUAAACUAUAAUAUAUGAAUAAUAGUUAAUAUACUAUAAACUAUGAUAUCUUGUAAUAGUAACAUCCUUAUGCAGUUUUUGGUGGAAGUUGAACAAAAUAUAUGAUUGUAUUAUUAUAAAUGUAUAAUUUCUAUACUUAUUACUUAAAACCAUGCUGAAGGAACAUAUGUUGCGUAACGAAUUUUAAACUAUAUUUUAUAUAAUAUUUUGUUAACGGGAAAAAAAUAUGUCCGCGUGUGCCUAAAUAAAUCGGGUUCUGCAAAUAAGUAAGAAUUUUAGUUUUUUUUUUUUGAGAGUUUUUGGGGGAGCAGUACCCCGGACCCCCCUCCCGUAAAUACGCCGCUGAACAAUUAUUUGAUUUUUUACCUGUAUAACUGUAUCUUCCUACGUAAAUCGUAUUUAUCACUUAUUUUUUUAUGUAUACAUUUUUUUAAUUU